CAGAGAGGAGUGAGCCCACAGGAGGAACAGAACCUCUGCUCACAGCUCUGGGCUUCAAGCGGAGUUCUCAGGCCAGUGACUGCCAGCUCAAUGUGGAUACCUGUAUGGCCCGCCUGGCCCAGUUACAACAUUUCUGAGGGCCAUGGGAGUUUUGUGAAUGGCUGGGAAGCUAGCUCCCCAUUCCUGCCCCAGCAGCCCCAGAAACUCUGCUGCUCUCUCCCUGGAGGCUUUGUGGCUCACCUAACUAGACCCAGAUGUCUGUCUCCAUUGCCACCUGCUGGUGUGGGACCCCAAAGUCCCCUCUGACGGCGUGAAGAAAGCCCGUUCCACAGGAAAACACACAGAUGGAGUUGUUCCACUUGUCAUUUGGAAAUUCAAUUGUGAGGACACGGGGUGCAGAGGAAGUGUAGGCAGCGGACCCCAACUAAUGGGUGUAAUCCUAUUGGGAUGAGAAUGGAACCAGCACCAG